rnacentral:rRNA from 1 species
UCCUCCCUCUGGCGGCGUGCUUAACACAUGCAAGUCGAACGGAAAGGCCUGCUUUCCCUUGUGGAUUGCGGGUACUCGAGUGGCGAACGGGGGAGUAACACGUGAGUGAUCUGCCCCCAACUUGGGUAUAAGCCUGGGAAACUGGGUCUAAUUCCCGAUAGGACUGCAGGGUGGUGCCUGUGGUGGAAAACGAUUUUCUAGUGGUUGGGGAUGAGCUCGCGGCCUAUCAGCUUGUUGGUGGGGUAAUGGCCUACCAAGGCGGCGACGGGUAGCCGGCCUGAGAGGGUGGACGGCCACAUUGGGACUGAGAUACGGCCCAGACUCCUACGGGAGGCAGCAGUGGGGAAUAUUGCACAAUGGGCGGAAGCCUGAUGCAGCGACGCCGCGGGGGGGAUGACGGCCUUCGGGUUGUAAACUCCUUUCGACCGCGAGGAAGCCACCUGGUUGGAAGGGUGGUGACGGUAGUGGUAGAAGAAGCACCGGCUAACUACGUG